AUUUGUUUUAUUGCGCGUCGCCUCCGAAGUAGCUCUGUCCCGAGACGGCCAGGGCGCGCUUGGGUCUGAUUCGCUAUCGUGAAAAGCGGAAGUGUCGAAUCCCCACCGAGGACAAAAACAACACUGCAAUCACGGAACCAUAAAGUAAAACCACUCACCUCCCCCCAAGCCGCGCCCGGAUCGACGGCCGCAGUCAGAACGCGAUGGCCAAAGCUGACUCAAUCCAGAAUGGAAUCAAAACAGACACAACAGACGAUGUUGAAAAAUCACUGGAACUGCUCGACAAAGUGCUGUCCGAGUUCGAGGAAGAGCAAGAGGUAAUACACGCCCCCGUGGAGCCGGAUAGUCCCUCCCAGGGCCACCAGUCCGAGGACGAUGGUUACAUGAGCAUGAAUGGCCGGAGGGCAAAAUUCGUACCUGAUUUUCAACCGACUGACGAGGCAAAUGCACCCUCACUUCCACAUCCGGUGCCACCGGACGGCAAGUACUCACCUCCAUCGCCCGAGGAAGCAGAACGAAUUAUUUCCAAUUUGCUACCAAGGAUAUCCCCAACCACAUCACCCAGUCGAAGGACCAACAGUACCACCAGUAGCAGUAGCAACAAUCGGAGCCCGGUCCAUCACAGCAGCGGCAUCAUCAGCCAUCCACACAGCCACAGUCACAGUGAGUGGCGGACGAGAAAUCUGGUGCGAAACUCCGACUCGAUUAGUAGUUCGACGACGACGAGCGACAAACCCUCCUCCAAUGACAACACGGUCAUUGUCAAGAGUCCAACCCAGACGACACUGCCAAAAACUCGUCCCUCCAAUGUUUUACCCACACGAUACGCAAGUCUUCCAUGCUCCAGCCCGCCCAAACAGACCGGCCCGAGCGAACCAAGUGGAGGCAGUCUGGACGACGGUCGGAACAAACUCGGCGGAAUCGGAAUCAGCGCGGUGCAUGAUGCCGUCCUGCGGGGGAUGACGCGACUGCCAGAACCUAUAGUGAACGAGCAUCCCGUCACAAUUUACCCCGGUAGAGCGUCGCCACCGCGGCGGGCGUCCCGAAAUCUACAGAGCUCAAUCGAGCGCCACAGGGACCUCUAUCGAAAAGGUGCCUACAACUCGGACAACUCGUCAUCGCAGGAGAAUUCGUCACCGGAAAAUAACGAAUUCGAAAACAACUCGUCCCUUUCGCCCUCGCAUGGCGUCCAGCUGAACAUCAACUACAAUAAUAAUCUAAUCAGCAAUCGGAUAUUUGCUGCCAGCGCAGACUACACCCGACAGCGGACGGCACACGACGACAGCGAUGAGGAACGGUUCUCCGAUGAUUCACUGGAGGAAUCGUCUCUUCCGCCACCGCCGGGGCCACCGACGGUUCCUCCUCCUCCGUCGUUGUCGGCCCCGGUAACCCCCAGCAAACGGCACAGCAUUGCGUGGGAGGUCAACCUGGACGAUCCGGCUAGUUUCGAAGAUCCGCUGGCGAUGCCUAAGGUUUCGGCGUGCAGUAAGGUUAUUGGCAGGCGAAAAGGAACCAAGAACGUCAACGAUUCGCAAUCAAGUUUAGAAUCGACGCCCAGCAAUAGGAAAAGUGAAUCCAACAACGAGUGGCCCGAUCCGCCCGACAUUCCCAUAUGCAGCACCGAGGACGAAGCCGCUUCCCUGUAUUCCGACUCCGACGAUGUCAUACCGCAAGUACCGGACAUUUCCGGCCGUGGGACGUACGUCAUCCGGAAGGGUCGGCGGAGACAGCGGCUGGAAAGCUUGGAUUCGAACGCCAGCAAUAACCUUCCGAUUCCGAGCAGCGAACCUCCGCCUCCGGUCCUACCGAGUCCCAUCUUCCCUGCCUCCAUGCUGCUGCCCAAGUCGAGGCACAGCAUUGAUUUGGGCCUGACGUCGUCCGGUUGCAGUGCCGUAAUCAAGACCUCACACUCCGCCCCUCAGAAACUACCCAACUCAGUUCUCUCGCCCAGGUCACGACUAUCAUUAGAUUUAAGUUCACCUACCUCAGAGCUUUCAACAAACGUAAAGAAAAUCACAACCCCUACCGGAAGCUUCCCGGCGCACCUGCAGCCUCAGCAACAACAGCAACCCUCACAGCUCCACAACAAUAAUAACAAUAACAGCCUGAGCAAAUCGAAAUCCAACAGCAACAAUAAUCUUAGCACGGCCUGUGUAAACAAUAACAGCAUUACCGUCGUUGGUGGCGCAGCUCCGGUCCUGAUUGGAAAUGGCUCCCAGAGUGGGUCACAGCCGAUAGUCUCAUCGCGGUACACCGAGUUCAAAACGUACAGUUCGACCUUCGAUGCCCUGCAGGCGCUGGAGAGUGCCAACAACAACAGCAUGACACGCGGCGGAGGCACCACCGGAAAUGGAACGGCCACCGUCGUACCCGUUGUCCCCGAUAACGACAGCGCGAUAAUACGGGUUUCCUCGCUGCCGGCCGUCACACCGCCUCAACACCCAGGCUCCGCAACAGCCGAAGGUCUUUCGACGCCACGCCGUGAGCUCGCCCCGCCAAUCGAGGAGGACGAGGAAGUGGACAGUGACACCCAGCGGGGUGCCCCGUUACGCAAAAUAGAGGAUAAUAUUAGUGCUUUAUUACGUGGUGAUAUAUCUGUUGCUAGAGUAGCCGACAUACCUCCCGCGAGACGUCCAUUAGGUUUUCGCCUAGGUGUUCAUAAAUCAGAAAGUGCCAAAGAAAUGCUUUUAUCGCAAGCUGGAUUGGGGCCUUUGCCACCGUCACCGCCGUCAUCUAGUCCCGAACCGGACAGUGACGAAUUUCCUCCGCUGCCUCCCUCGCCUACCGAGGAACCCGAAGUUAUCCACCAGCUGCACGGCAUACGCAUCAGCUCACGCAAUAGGUCCAACAGUACCAAACACGAAGGUCACUUCCGGGACGAGCAGGCACCGGCCGUUCCGCCCCAUCGUGGCCCGUCGAUCAAUACGCUUAAAACGAGAUCAAUGGAUGCCGGAUUUAGUAAAUCCUACCGCAAUGGUUCGCACGCUUCAACGUCACCUCACGCCCCCGGAACGCUUCCUCCCGAUUUGCCCGGAUGCAACUCGCGACGAAGAGUCAUCACUGGAGGCUACCAGAAGCGUACCGCUCAGAGUCCCCGCGAGGAGAGAUCCCUGCAGACGUCUUGCAGUUUACCAGAAACGCCCAUCUUUGCUCGAGGCAGCUGUGAUAUUCCACGGACGCCCCACCGACGAGCGCCGGAAAUACCGCCUCAUGGCAGCGGAAGCCGAACGGCUCCCCGCACCAACACCAACACGACCAGCAGCCUUGGGUCGUCGGUGGUUGGCAUCGGUACCUCAACCAUCGGUGGCCGACAGCGGAGCAUCAGCCAAGCUUUCGCCAACGGUGAAAUGCUACGCUUAGCGGGCGGUCCAGCCCGCGGUUGGUAUCCGAAGCAGCGGCAACCGCGGCCGGCGUCGACCGAGCACCUGGACCGGCUGCAUCCGCAGGGAUCCCUGCGCGCCUGGGAAGCGGGUACGGGUAGCAGAAAACCGCUCACCCUACCACCUAAUCUCACACCUAAAUUUUUCAACAAGUCACCGCGAGAGGCGUUGCGUCGUGUUACUAGUUUGUUAAUUCGAAAAGGAAAUUCCGGCACCAAGGAUAAGGAAUCGCGCAAGGACAAAGACCGAGGCGAUAAAGAGGCCUACUCGUCGUCGUCCACUUUUCUUCAACGGUCACCGGGAUCCGACGUAACCGACUCUCGAGGCUAUCAUCACUCUCUUCAUUACCAACAGCAGCAGCAACAGCAACAACAACAACAACAACAUCACCAUCACCAACCCCAGCAUCAGCAUUCAUCGCAGCAUACUACGCCAACAACGCAGAAAAAGAAGGGUUUCUUUAAAAGUUUUUGGAAAAAAUCACGUCACUAUUCGCUAGAAAAGCAGUAAGCCGUGCCACAUCCAAGCCGUAACGGCAUGGAGACGCCCGGUUGGUAACUUUUGCUAGGCUAGUGGAACGAAAAACAAACACAGAUAUUUAUACGCACUGUAUUUGCGGCGGGUGGAAGUACUUUAACCAAAACUCUAACAAACAGCAAUCUCUUAUCUAUUGGCCUAACCAAAAAAAAAGAAAACAAAAAUAAAACACUGAAACAGAAGUUAAACAAACAAACGCACGAGCGGGA